rnacentral:rRNA from 1 species
CAGUCGCCGCGGGAAUACAGAGGGUGCGAGCGUUAAUCGGAUUUACUGGGCGUAAAGCGUGCGUAGGCGGCUUCUUAAGUCGGAUGUGAAAUCCCUGAGCUUAACUUAGGAAUUGCAUUCGAUACUGGGAAGCUAGAGUAUGGGAGAGGAUGGUAGAAUUCCAGGUGUAGCGGUGAAAUGCGUAGAGAUCUGGAGGAAUACCGAUGGCGAAGUCAGCCAUCUGGCCUAAUACUGACGCUGAGGUACGAAAGCAUGGGGAGCAAACAGGAUUAGAUACCCCGGUAGUCCCUGUCUCUUAUAC